AUUGAACGCUGGCGGGAUGCUUAACACAUGCAAGUCGAACGAGUGGCGGACGGGUGAGUAAUAUCUCGGAACGUGCCUAGUAGCGGGGGAUAACUACUAGAAAGGGUGGCUCAUACCGCAUACCAUCGGAGCGGCCGAUAUGGGAUUAGCUAGUUGGUGGGGUAAAGGCUAACGAAGGCAAAGCUCCCUAGCUGGUCUGAGAGGAUGACGAGCCACACUGGGACUGAGACACGGCCCAUACUCCUACGGUAGGCAGCAGUGGGGAAUUUUGGACAAUGGGGGAAACCCUGAUCCAGCCAUCCCGCGUGUAUGAGAAGGCCUUCGGGUUGUAAAGUACUUUUGGCAGAGAAGCGGUAUCUGCAGAAUAAGCACCGGCUAACUACGUGCCAGCAGCCGCGGUAAUUC
rnacentral:rRNA from 1 species